UACGUAGGGGGCAAGCGUUGUCCGGAAUCAUUGGGCGUAAAGAGCGCGUAGGCGGUCCGGUAAGUCCGCUCUGAAAGUCCGGGGCUCAACCCCGGGAGGCGGGCGGAUACUGUCGGGCUAGAGUGCGGAAGAGGCGAGUGGAAUUCCUGGUGUAGCGGUGAAAUGCGCAGAUACCAGGAGGAACACCAAUGGCGAAGGCAGCUCGCUGGGACGGUACUGACGCUGAGGCGCGAAAGCGUGGGGAGCAAACAGG
rnacentral:rRNA from 1 species